rnacentral:rRNA from 1 species
AUGAGCACGGCGCUACUUCGGCUGAUAGCUCUGCUGUUCCUCCUCCCGCCUCCCCUCCGCCACUACCUCUCGCCAGCAAGCGGCGGCAGGGCCAGCCAGCUCAACGUCAAACACCCCAUCAUCCUGCUCCCCGGCUUCAGCUGCUCCAACCUCGAGGCGCGGCUGACGGACGAGUACGCGCCGUCGCAGCCCCGCUGCGGCGCCCUCAAGGGCCAGGGGUGGUUCCCGCUGUGGAACGACACCUGGGCCAUCGUCAACCACGACUACCUGCCCUGCUUCGAGGAGCAGAUGAGCCUCGUCUUCGACCCCAUCCUUGAUGACUACCGCAACAUCCCCGGCGUGGAGACCCGCGUGCCGGACUUCGGCUCCACCCACGGCAUCACCUCCAAGAACGACGCGGGUCGCAACGAAUUCUGCCUGAUAAAGCUCCGCGACGAGCUGGAGGCGCUGGGUUACCGCGACAGGGACACCCUCUUCGGGGCUCCCUACGACCUGCGGCACGCCCCACCGCCGCCCGGCCAGCCAUCCCGGGUCUACUCCGACUACUUCGCCCGCCUCGUGGAGCUGGUGGAGCACGCGAGCGACAAGAACGGGGGCAAGCCGGCCAUCCUCCUCGGGCACAGCUUCGGCGGCAGGGUCCUCCUGGACUUCGUCACCUCCACGCCCCUGCCGUGGAGGCAGAGGUUCAUCAAGCACCUGUUCCUCGUCUCGCCCACGACCCCCACGGGCUUCAUGCUCGCGCUCACCAACCUAGCCUCCGGGUCGUCAGUCGUCCAGCUCCCCACCGUCUCAUCGCUCGCACUGAGGUCCAUGUGGAGGACCUUCGCCAGCUCCCUCCUGUCCAUGCCGGCCCCUAGGGUUUUCGGCCGCAGGCCGCUCGUCAUCACCAAGGAGAGGAACUACUCCGCCUACGACUACCCAGAUUUCCUCGCGGCGCUCGGUUUCAGCGCCAACGGGAUCGUGCCCUUCGUGAAACGGGUGCUCCCCACGAUGGUGCGCAUCGACGCGCCGAUGGUGCCGACCACGUACAUCAACGGCGUCGGUGUCCAGACGGCGGAGCAGGUAAUGUACCUGGAUGGUAACUUCGACGUCGCCACCGAGACCGUAUACGGCGACGGAGACGGUACCAUCAACGCGGCUAGCAUUUUGGCGUUUGCCAAGGAGGUGGGCACGCAACAUCGCCGGAAUAAUGACAUACCCUUCAAGUUCGUUAAGAUUCCUAAUGCUACGCACGCCGGUAUUGUCAUCGAGAAACAUCCGCUCGCUAGAGUCAUGGCUGAGCUUCUGGAAGCUAAUUCUUGA